rnacentral:rRNA from 1 species
GAUCCAUUGGAGGGCAAGUCUAGUACCAACAGCCACGGUAAUUCCAUCUCCAAUAGCGUAUAUUUAAGUUGUUGCAGUUAAGAAGUUCGUAGCUGGACUUAAGGGUGGGUGAAUCGGUCCGCCUCACGGUGAGCACCGAUCUGCUCGUCCCUACUACCGGCGAUGCGCUCCUAGCCGUAAUUGGUCGGGUUGUUCCUUCGAUGUUAUUACUUUGAAGAAAUUAGAGUGCUCAAAGCAAGCCUACGCUUGUAUACAUUAGCAUGGGAUAACAUCAUAGGAUUUCGAUCCAUUGUGUUGGCCUUCAAGAUCGGAGAAAUGAUUAACAAGGACAGUCAGGGGCAUUCUUAUUUCAUAGUCAGAGGUGAAAUACUUGGAUCUAUGAAAGACGAGCAACUGCAAAAGCAUUUGCCGAGGAUGUUUUCAUUAAUCAAGAAUGAAAUUUGAGGGCUCGAAGACGAUCAGAUAUCGUCCUAGACUCAACCAUAAAAGAUACCGACCAAGGAUCGACGGAUAUUACUUUUAGGACUUCGUCGGUACCUUAUGAGAAAUCAAAGUCUUUGGGUUCGGGAGAGUAUGGUCGUAAGGCUGAAACUUAAAGGAAUUGACGAAAGGGCACCACCAGGAGUGGAGGCUGCGGCUUAAUUUGACUCAACACAGGGAAACUUACCAGGUCCAGACAUAGUAAGGAUUGACAGACUGAGAGCUCUUUCUUGUGUGGUGGUGCAUGGCCGUUCUUAGUUUGGUGGAGCGGUUUGUCUAGUUAAUUCCAUUAACGAACGAGACCUCAACCUACUAACUAGCUACACAGAGGUGAUCCUCUGUGCUAGGUUCUUAGAGGGACUAUGGCCUUUUGGCUAAGGAAGUUUGAGGCAAUAACAGGUCUGUAAUGCCUUUAGAUGUUCUAGGCGCACGUACGCUACAUUGAUGUAUUCAACGAGUCUAUAGCCUUGGUCGACAGGCCGGGUAAUCUUUGAAAUUUCAUCGUGAUGGGGAUAGAUUAUUACAGUUAUUGGUCUUCAACAAGGAAUUCCUAGUAAGCGCGAGUCAUCAGCUCACGUUGACUACGUCCCUGCCCUUUGUACAUAUCGUCCGUCGCUCCUACUGAUUAAAUGGUCCGAUGAAGUGUUUGGAUCGCAGUAAAGUGGGUGGUUCACUGCCUGCGACAUCGUUGAGAAGUCCACUGAACCUUAUCAUUUAGAGGAAGGAUAAGUCAUAACAAGGUUUCCUUAGGUGAACCUACGGAAG